AUUGAACGCUGGCGGCAGGCUUAACACAUGCAAGUCGAGCGGGGUGAUGGUGCUUGCACUAUCACUUAGCGGCGGACGGGUGAGUAAUGCUUAGGAAUCUGCCUAUUAGUGGGGGACAACAUCUCGAAAGGGAUGCUAAUACCGCAUACGUCCUACGGGAGAAAGCAGGGGAUCACUUGUGACCUUGCGCUAAUAGAUGAGCCUAAGUCGGAUUAGCUAGUUGGUGGGGUAAAGGCCUACCAAGGCGACGAUCUGUAGCGGGUCUGAGAGGAUGAUCCGCCACACAAGGACUGAGACACGGCCCAGACUCCUACGGGAGGCAGCAGUGGGGAAUAUUGGACAAUGGGGGGAACCCUGAUCCAGCCAUGCCGCGUGUGUGAAGAAGGCCUUAUGGUUGUAAAGCACUUUAAGCGAGGAGGAGGCUCUUUUGGUUAAUACCCAAGAUAAGUGGACGUUACUCGCAGAGUAAGCACCGGCUAACUCUGUGCCAGCCGCCGCGGUAA
rnacentral:rRNA from 1 species